rnacentral:rRNA from 1 species
GGGUUGUGAGGUUAAGCGACUAAGCGUACACGGUGGAUGCCCUGGCAGUCAGAGGCGAUGAAGGGCGUGCUAAUCUGCGAUAAGCGCCGGUAAGGUGAUAUGAACCGUUAUAACCGGCGAUACCCGAAUGGGGAAACCCAGUGUGAUUCGUCACACUAUCAUUAACUGAAUCCAUAGGUUAAUGAGGCGAACCGGGGGAACUGAAACAUCUAAGUACCCCGAGGAAAAGAAAUCAACCGAGAUUCCCCCAGUAGCGGCGAGCGAACGGGGAGGAGCCCAGAGCCUGAAUCAGCAUGUGUGUUAGUGGAAGCGUCUGGAAAGGCGCGCGAUACAGGGUGACAGCCCCGUACACAAAAGCGCAUGUGCUGUGAGCUCGAUGAGUAGGGCGGGACACGUGAUAUCCUGUCUGAAUAUGGGGGGACCAUCCUCCAAGGCUAAAUACUCCUGACUGACCGAUAGUGAACCAGUACCGUGAGGGAAAGGCGAAAAGAACCCCGGCGAGGGGAGUGAAAAAGAACCUGAAACCGUGUACGUACAAGCAGUGGGAGCACCCUUCGGGGUGUGACUGCGUACCUUUUGUAUAAUGGGUCAGCGACUUAUAUUCUGUAGCAAGGUUAACCGAAUAGGGGAGCCGGAGGGAAACCGAGUCUUAACCGGGCGUUAAGUUGCAGGGUAUAGACCCGAAACCCGGUGAUCUAGCCAUGGGCAGGUUGAAGGUUGGGUAACACUAACUGGAGGACCGAACCGACUAAUGUUGAAAAAUUAGCGGAUGACCUGUGGCUGGGGGUGAAAGGCCAAUCAAACCGGGAGAUAGCUGGUUCUCCCCGAAAGCUAUUUAGGUAGCGCCUCGUGAAUUCAUCUCCGGGGGUAGAGCACUGUUUCGGCUAGGGGGCCAUCCCGGCUUACCAACCCGAUGCAAACUGCGAAUACCGGAGAAUGUUAUCACGGGAGACACACGGCGGGUGCUAACGUCCGUCGUGAAGAGGGAAACAACCCAGACCGCCAGCUAAGGUCCCAAAGUCAUGGUUAAGUGGGAAACGAUGUGGGAAGGCCCAGACAGCCAGGAUGUUGGCUUAGAAGCAGCCAUCAUUUAAAGAAAGCGUAAUAGCUCACUGGUCGAGUCGGCCUGCGCGGAAGAUGUAACGGGGCUAAACCAUGCACCGAAGCUGCGGCAGCGACGCUGAUGCGUUGUUGGGUAGGGGAGCGUUCUGUAAGCCUGCGAAGGUGGCCUGUGAGGGUUGCUGGAGGUAUCAGAAGUGCGAAUGCUGACAUAAGUAACGAUAAAGCGGGUGAAAAGCCCGCUCGCCGGAAGACCAAGGGUUCCUGUCCAACGUUAAUCGGGGCAGGGUGAGUCGACCCCUAAGGCGAGGCCGAAAGGCGUAGUCGAUGGGAAACGGGUUAAUAUUCCCGUACUUGGUGUUACUGCGAAGGGGGGACGGAGAAGGCUAUGUUGGCCGGGCGACGGUUGUCCCGGUUUAAGCGUGUAGGUGUGUGUUCCAGGUAAAUCCGGUUCACUUUAACACUGAGGCGUGACGACGAGGCACUACGGUGCUGAAGCAACAAAUGCCCUGCUUCCAGGAAAAGCCUCUAAGCAUCAGGUAACAUCAAAUCGUACCCCAAACCGACACAGGUGGUCAGGUAGAGAAUACCAAGGCGCUUGAGAGAACUCGGGUGAAGGAACUAGGCAAAAUGGUGCCGUAACUUCGGGAGAAGGCACGCUGACACGUAGGUGAAGUGAUUUACUCAUGGAGCUGAAGUCAGUCGAAGAUACCAGCUGGCUGCAACUGUUUAUUAAAAACACAGCACUGUGCAAACACGAAAGUGGACGUAUACGGUGUGACGCCUGCCCGGUGCCGGAAGGUUAAUUGAUGGGGUCAGCGCAAGCGAAGCUCCUGAUCGAAGCCCCGGUAAACGGCGGCCGUAACUAUAACGGUCCUAAGGUAGCGAAAUUCCUUGUCGGGUAAGUUCCGACCUGCACGAAUGGCGUAAUGAUGGCCAGGCUGUCUCCACCCGAGACUCAGUGAAAUUGAACUCGCUGUGAAGAUGCAGUGUACCCGCGGCAAGACGGAAAGACCCCGUGAACCUUUACUAUAGCUUGACACUGAACAUUGAGCCUUGAUGUGUAGGAUAGGUGGGAGGCUUUGAAGCGUGGACGCCAGUCUGCAUGGAGCCGACCUUGAAAUACCACCCUUUAAUGUUUGAUGUUCUAACGUGGACCCGUGAUCCGGGUUGCGGACAGUGUCUGGUGGGUAGUUUGACUGGGGCGGUCUCCUCCUAAAGAGUAACGGAGGAGCACGAAGGUUGGCUAAUCCUGGUCGGACAUCAGGAGGUUAGUGCAAUGGCAUAAGCCAGCUUGACUGCGAGCGUGACGGCGCGAGCAGGUGCGAAAGCAGGUCAUAGUGAUCCGGUGGUUCUGAAUGGAAGGGCCAUCGCUCAACGGAUAAAAGGUACUCCGGGGAUAACAGGCUGAUACCGCCCAAGAGUUCAUAUCGACGGCGGUGUUUGGCACCUCGAUGUCGGCUCAUCACAUCCUGGGGCUGAAGUAGGUCCCAAGGGUAUGGCUGUUCGCCAUUUAAAGUGGUACGCGAGCUGGGUUUAGAACGUCGUGAGACAGUUCGGUCCCUAUCUGCCGUGGGCGCUGGAGAACUGAGGGGGGCUGCUCCUAGUACGAGAGGACCGGAGUGGACGCAUCACUGGUGUUCGGGUUGUCAUGCCAAUGGCACUGCCCGGUAGCUAAAUGCGGAAGAGAUAAGUGCUGAAAGCAUCUAAGCACGAAACUUGCCCCGAGAUGAGUUCUCCCUGAGACUUAGAGUCUCCUGAAGGAACGUUGAAGACGACGACGUUGAUAGGCCGGGUGUGUAAGCGCAGCGAUGCGUUGAGCUAACCGGUACUAAUGAACCGUGAGGCUUAACCUUACAACGCCGAAG